UACGUAGGUGACCAGCGUUGUCCGGAUCUACUGGGCGUAAAGAGCGCGCAGGCGGUCGUUCAAGUCGAGUGUGAAAGCCCCCGGCUCAACUGGGGAGGGUCAUUCGAUACUGAUCGACUUGAAGGCAGGAGAGGGAAGCGGAAUUCCCGGUGUAGUGGUGAAAUUCGUAGAUAUUCGGAAGAACACCAGUGGCGAAGGCGACUUACUGGACACAUAUUGACGCUGAGGUGCGAAAGCGUGGGGAGCAAACAGG
rnacentral:rRNA from 1 species